CCUACGGGUGGCUGCAGUGAGGGAUCUUGCGCAAUGGGGGAAACCCUGACGCAGCGACGCCGCGUGGAUGAUGAAGGCCUUCGGGUUGUAAAAUCCUUUAGCCCCUGACGAGGACGGACGGUAGGGGGAAAAUAAGCUUCGGCUAACUACGUGCCAGCAGCCGCGGUAAAACGUAGGAAGCAAGCGUUAUCCGGAGUUACUGGGCGUAAAGCGCGCGCAGGCGGCUUGUUAAGUGGUGCUUGAAAGCUCCGGGCUAAACUCGGAGAGGCGGCAUC
rnacentral:rRNA from 1 species